GUCCAGAAAUUCGCAAUCAAUAAAAAAUUUCAAAUUUGGAAGAUAAGACACUUAACAUGGAGGAUGAAGCAUACUAAAUUGAUGAGAAAGUAGAGAAAAAUCCAAAAAGAUUUGAAGCAUAUGGAUUGAAUCCAUGCAAAAUUGGACAGAAAUGGGCAACUAGUUAUUUGGAUAUUUGAUUGAAUUCCUUGAAAGCAAUAUCUAUUUUCUU
rnacentral:misc_RNA from 1 species